UACGUAGGGGGCUAGCGUUGUCCGGAUUUAUUGGGCGUAAAGAGCGUGUAGGCGGUUUUGUUGCGUCGGCUGUGAAAUCCCGAGGCUCAACCUCGGGUCUGCAGUCGAUACGAGCAAACUAGAGUGUUGCAGGGGAGACUGGAAUUCCUGGUGUAGCGGUGAAAUGCGCAGAUAUCAGGAGGAACACCGGUGGCGAAGGCGGGUCUCUGGGCAUUAACUGACGCUGAGGAGCGAAAGCAUGGGGAGCGAACAGG
rnacentral:rRNA from 1 species